rnacentral:rRNA from 1 species
GACGAACGCUGGCGGCGCGCCUAAUACAUGCAAGUAGAACGCUGAAGGAGGAGCUUGCUUCUCUGGAUGAGUUGCGAACGGGUGAGUAACGCGUAGGUAACCUGCCUGGUAGCGGGGGAUAACUAUUGGAAACGAUAGCUAAUACCGCAUAAUAGCAGUUAUUGCAUGAUAACUGUUUGAAAGGUGCAAUUGCACCACUACCAGAUGGACCUGCGUUGUAUUAGCUAGUUGGUGGGGUAACGGCUCACCAAGGCGACGAUACAUAGCCGACCUGAGAGGGUGAUCGGCCACACUGGGACUGAGACACGGCCCAGACUCCUACGGGAGGCAGCAGUAGGGAAUCUUCGGCAAUGGACGGAAGUCUGACCGAGCAACGCCGCGUGAGUGAAGAAGGUUUUCGGAUCGUAAAGCUCUGUUGUAAGAGAAGAACGAGUGUGAGAGUGGAAAGUUCACACUGUGACGGUAUCUUACCAGAAAGGGACGGCUAACUACGUG